rnacentral:rRNA from 1 species
CGGUAAUUCCAGCUCCAAUAGCGUAUACUAAAGUUGUUGCAGUUAAAAAGCUCGUAGUUGGAUUUCUGCGGGGACGGAGCGGCCGGACGCAACUUGCGUCUCGAGCUAGCGCUUUCCCCGCAUCCUGCCGCGAACCGUGCUACCAUUAGUUUGGUGGCGCUGGGGAUCGGCUCGAUUACUUUGAGAAAAAUAGAGUGUUCAAAGCAGACCACACGCCUUGAAUAAGUUAGCAUGGAAUAAUGACUAAGGACUUCGGUUCUAUUUUGUUGGUGUUCGGGACUGAAGUAAUGAUUGAUAGGGACAGUUGGGGCGGUCUGUAUUCCAAAGCGAGAGGUGAAAUUCUUAGACCUUCGGAAGACAAACAGCUGCGAAAGCGUUCCGCAAGGAUGUUCCCUUUGAUCAAGAACGAAAGUUGGGGGAUCGAAGACGAUCAGAUACCGUCGUAGUCUCAACUAUAAACUAUACCAGCUAGGGAUCGGCCAACGUUUAAUUAUUCGACUUGGUCGGCACCUUAUGAGAAAUCAAAGCAUCUGGGUUCCGGGGGGAGUAUGGUCGCAAGGCUGAAACUUAAAGGAAUUGACGGAAGGGCACCACCAGCCGUGGAGCCUGUGGCUUAAUUUGACUCAACACGGGAAAACUUACCAGGUCCAGACAUAGGAAGGAUUGGCAGAUUGAUAGCUCUUUCUUGAUUCUGUGGGUGGUGGUGCAUGGCCGUUUUUAGUUGGUGGAGUGAUUUGUCUGCUUAAUUGCGUUAACGAACGAGACCCCAGCCUGCUAAAUAGCGCGGCCGAGCUUUGCUCGGUGCGAGCUUCUUAGAGGGACCAUGAUGCGCGAUAGCACAAGGAAGUUUGGGGCAACAACAGGUCUGUGAUGCCCUUAGAUGUUCUGGGCCGCACACGGGCUACACUGGCGCCUGCAACGAGCAUAUCAGCUGGCCCGAGAGGGUCUUGGCUAAUCUUUUGAACCGGCGCCGUGCUUGGGAUUGACCUUUGCAAUUGUUGGUCAUGCAACGAGGAAUGCCUUGUAAACGCGAGUCAUCAACUCGCAUUGAAUACGUCCCUGCCCCUUGUACACACCGCCC